UACGUAGGGGGCAAGCGUUGUCCGGAUUUACUGGGCGUAAAGCGCGCGUAGGUGGCCCUGUAAGUCCGUUGUGAAAGUCAAAGGCUCAACCUUUGAAAGCCGAUGGAUACUGCAGGACUAGAGUACGGAAGAGGCGAGUGGAAUUCCUGGUGUAGCGGUGGAAUGCGCAGAUAUCAGGAGGAACACCAAUAGCGAAGGCAGCUCGCUGGGACGUUACUGACACUGAGGCGCGAAAGCGUGGGGAGCGAACAGG
rnacentral:rRNA from 1 species